rnacentral:rRNA from 1 species
GACGAACGCUGGCGGCGUGCCUAAUACAUGCAAGUAGAACGCUGAAGAGAGGAGCUUGCUCUUCUUGGAUGAGUUGCGAACGGGUGAGUAACGCGUAGGUAACCUGCCUUGUAGCGGGGGAUAGCUAUUGGAAACGAUAGCUAAUACCGCAUAACAAUGGAUGACACAUGUCAUUUAUUUGAAAGGGGCAAUUGCUCCACUACAAGAUGGACCUGCGUUGUAUUAGCUAGUAGGUGAGGUAAUGGCUCACCUAGGCGACGAUACAUAGCCGACCUGAGAGGGUGAUCGGCCACACUGGGACUGAGACACGGCCCAGACUCCUACGGGAGGCAGCAGUAGGGAAUCUUCGGCAAUGGGGGCAACCCUGACCGAGCAACGCCGCGUGAGUGAAGAAGGUUUUCGGAUCGUAAAGCUCUGUUGUAAGUCAAGAACGGGUGUGAGAGUGGAAAGUUCACACUGUGACGGUAGCUUGCCAGAAAGGGACGGCUAACUACGUG